rnacentral:rRNA from 1 species
GCUCGUGAUUAAGCCCAAAUACCUCCCCAAAUUCUAUCUAACCACCACCCAAAACAUUUGACCUGGACAGUAGAUGCGAUCGAAAUCCGCCAAUCGACGCUAUACAAACAGUACUAUGAAGGAAAAAUGAAAAAGAGUGAAACCGUUAGCAUAACUAAGCAGGGACUAAAACUCGUACCUUUUGCAUCAUGAUUUAGCAAGAAAACUAGACAAAGCGACCUACAGCCUUCCACCCCGAACACAAGUGAUCUACUUCAUGGCAGUUGAACCGAACUAACUCAUCUCUGUGGCAAUAGAGUGAGAAGACCAAGAAGUAGUCGGCCAAAAACCAAACGAACUUGUCGAUAGCUGGUUAUCCGACAAAUGAAUUUAAGUUCAAACCAGGCAACACACCCUAUCACAUGAAAAACCAUUUUACCUGGAAAUAGCCAAUGGGGGCACAGCCCCAUUGGCGCUGGAUACAGCCAAAAAUAGCGAGAAAACAGCACCCCCCCCACCCAAAAAACCUGUGGGCCUUCAAACAGCCACCAGUAAAUAUCGCGUCACAGUGAUACACCAAAAAUACCACAAAAAAUUCAAUUCUCCUACUAAACCAACCGGAUAAUUCUACAAAAAUGUAGAAGAACUAAUGCUAAAAUAAGUAAUUAGAACCGUUUCUUUAGACAGAACUUUAAGUAGCACUACACCCAACAGACCCAAAAAAGAAAUAUGAUACCCACUCAACAACACAUUAAACACACUGUUAACCCAACAAAGGACUGUCUAUCAAUAGGCUUAAAACCUUAAAAGGAACUCGGCAAACCAAUUCUCCAACUGUUUACCAAAAACAUAGCUUCUAGCUAAACUAGUAUUAGAAGUAACGCCUGCCCUGUGGAACCCUAAACGGCCGCGGCACAAAACCGUGCAAAGGUAGCACAAUCACUUGUCCCCUAAAUGAGGACCCGUAUGAAAGGCAACAUGAGAGAAAACCUGUCUCCUAAGGUCCGCCAAUGAAAUUGAUCCAUCAGUACAAAAGCUGAUAUAACAAAGCAAGACAAAAAGACCCUAUGGAACUUUAACAAAUUGAUUAUACACAAUAAACAUAAGCAAUAGUUUCAGUUGGGAUAACUUUAGAAAAAAUAAACCUCUAAACACCAUCUAGACCAACUAGUCUUGACCCACUAACGCACGACCCAGUAAUACUGAUUAACGAAACAAGCUACCCUAGGGAUAACAGCGCUACCUUCUCAAAGAGUCCAUAUCAACAAGAAGAUCUACGACCUCGAUGUUGGAUCAGGGUACCCAGACGGUGCAGCAGCUGUCAACGGUUCGUUUGUUCAACGACUAACACCCUACGUGAUCUGAGUUCAGACCGGAGCAAUCCAGGUCGGCCUUUAUCUGCUCUAAGCCUUUGCUAGUACGAAAGGACCGCCAAGACAAGACUAAUGCUAUUAGCACAUCUUUCAAAAAUACUGCAUAAAACUAAACUACAAAAAUACACCCAACCCAAAAAAAGGGCCAAAAACCAGAAUCAUCUGGUGCCAC